rnacentral:rRNA from 1 species
UACGUAGGGUGCGAGCGUUGUCCGGAAUUAUUGGGCGUAAAGAGCUUGUAGGCGGUUUGUCGCGUCUGCUGUGAAAAUCCGGGGCUCAACCCCGGACUUGCAGUGGGUACGGGCAGACUAGAGUGUGGUAGGGGAGACUGGAAUUCCUGGUGUAGCGGUGAAAUGCGUAGAUAUCAAGAGGAACACCUGAGGUGAAGACGGGUUGCUGGGCCGACACUGACGCUGAUGCGCGAAAGCCAGGGGAGCAAACGGG